CGAUCAUUUAACGUUUUGUAGGAACUUAGUUAUCUAUAGUUGAAACAAUUGCUGAUUCAGAACAAUUAUCUAGCUAUUAAAUCUGUUUGUUAUUUACAUUCAAUUUCCGUCUUUAGUUUGAAGCUUACAUGAACGACUGACUAUAAAAAUAAUGGUUGUAGUUAAUCUCUUGUACGCUAUAAGCAUAAAUGGACUUCAUCGCGCAAUAAAUUUUAAGCCUAUUAUAAUUGCUUGUUGAUUCGCAGACCAAGUUUAUCAGAAAUUUAUACUGUACUUAUCAAGUUUUUCUGAUUCAUUUGAACUUUAUUCUAUUUGAGAACAAAUUAAUCAUCCUUCUUCAUGCAAUUUUGAAUCGGGACUCCUUCCAACCUGAAACUUAUUUCUCCAUUUGCAUCCUUCUAAUUACGUAUACACAAGUCUACAACUUAUAUGGGCACCAUACAGCAUAGACAGCACGAAAAAGUGCAUGGCUUAUUUUUGGAGUACCCAAUUAUUUAAAAACUGAUAUUUUCGAGAGUGCCUACUAAUACAAGCUUUUCAAUUCAGGCCAAAUUAAAUAAAUUGUUUAGUAGUGCAAUAUAUCCAUAAAUCUAGAAUUGCCUGUGUGAUAAAAUAUGGAAAAAUUGUAACAACUGGUUAAAAUCAUUUGACCAUGGUGAUUUUUGACGUAUUGUUCUAAAUCAGCAAAUUCAAUUACUUUGGCUCACCUAAAUACUUCUUAGUAGUAAGUUGAUUACAUAGCAGUUAUAAAAAAUAAUUAUCGUAUGUUUAAUUUGUAGUGUUGCAAACCAUUUCUGAUUUUUGGUGAAUUCGAAAUCAAGGAAUAUUGUCAAUCCACGAAACUAAUUAAAAAAUGUAUUGAUCUAUGUUUUCGAACUUUGCUACAUUUUCACGACUCUACUUACAUCAAUAGCUACGAAACCAUACGGAGCGAAUUUAUAGUUUUCCAAACUAAACAAGUAAUGUCAUCCAUUCCAAUCUCCAUGUGACUCACUAAGAGAGGGCGAUCCUGAUUUGGACCUUGUGUACGAUGCUAAUGCCGCCUAGGCCUGUUCAUUUCAAUUCAUAUCUUCUUGGAUUCAAAGUGAUGUUCUCAGAACUAUACUUCCAUUUACAACAGAUGUCUUCACCGGAUCACAUGUCAUUAAUUUGAAGUGCUCUAGUUUGUAUCAGGUCUUCUCUACAUCGACUUGUUAAAGUAGAAGAAAUUGGAGCGCCUCGUAGAUAGGAUGUCGUAUGGAAGAGUAGGCCUACCGUAUCUGGAAACAUGCAAUUACAAGCCGAUUGAAAAGAGACAAUGUCGGGAUUCCUGAACAGGUGAAGGAAUGUUCUGAAGACAUGAUACCUUGUACUGUACUUGAAAUACUGUCGAAUUGACGUUGUUAACAUGAUUGAAGACAAGUCCAGUAAGUCAAUCAAGACUUUGCCAAAUGAAUGAAACUUUAUCGAGCAUUAAGUGCUGCCAACAUUAUAGUGAGAAAUUGAUGCGAAUGAUUCUAGACCAUGAACGAACAUGUAAUGAUCCAGAUCAUGACAAGCAAAUAUAAAUCAGUUAGGUUACAAUAAUAUUUCAAGAUAUUAUUGAUCGAAUAGUUUUUGAAGCUGAAUUUUGAAGUGUAUUAAGGCACAAAAGAAGAAAAUGGAAAAUAGCUUGAAUUCAUUACACUGUUACAGUUCUCAAUCUAUUGGCUUGGUGCAGAAACAUAUUUAUGCAAAAUUUCCAUAAAUAUUUCUAAUAAAAUACAUUGUGUAUAAACACAUUCAGUUUUUCACUUAUAGUUGGAACUUUCAUGAAUGAAAUCUAAUAUUUAACUACAAGUACUGAAUCUUAAAUGCGUUUUAUUAUCAUUAAAUAUUAAUUAUCAUAUGAGCAAUACAGAAUUAAAUUUUUUCUCAGUAUUCUAAUUUGGAAAUAUUUGGUUGACUGAUUCUUUUAUCAAAACAAUACAAGUUAUUAAUUUUUAUUUUAGCACACACUUAAUCUGUAUUACUUGGUUUUCCCAUAUAAUUCAAGUAACAGUGCUUGCAAAUGAAUACGACAAAUAGCCUGAAAAUUAUUAAUAUGUCAGCGCUCAGGAAAUACUCAACGUGAUAAUCGUCGAAUGGAUUCAUGAAGUACCGGCAACGGCAACCUACAUCUGUUGUAGAUCUCGAUUGAAGAACUGAGCCUCAGCCUCACUGCACUGAAGAGGACGUCACAUCGUUACCGUCGAGAAGAGAGCUUACUCAUUCAAAUUAGAUGACUUCAUUUCAUCGUUAGCUUCAUCAAUUUUUGAUUAUUCUAGGCGCGAUGAAACCGUUAGUUGCUAUUUAUCGCGUAGUCGAGUUCCAAACGUAUUCAAUUAGGUACUGCCAUUUCUUUUAAAACCUUUCACUUCCUCUUUUCUUCAUUCCUAUUACUGGGCUUGAUCUUUUCUCAUUGUUUCUUUUCAUCAUUCUUUACCUCUUGCUUAACUCUUUUUUCAAUUAUAUGACUUGUCCUUAAUUUUGGCUGUCUAUUCUUCAACAUAAUUUAAUGGGAUGACUUUCUCCUACAGUUACGUAACUGUAUCUCCUCUAUGUUCUUUACUCAUUGUUGUUUCCAUAAACUCGUGUUAAUUUUUCUAUUUCUGUAGUUUGAUUUAUACGUCAUAUUCAAUACCGUCUGAAUGCAACGCCUAAAAAACUAUUCUUUCUUACAAACUAAAAAUUUCGUAGGCUCUAAUUCUGCAACGGUUACUUUGAUUGUAACAAAAUGGUUUUUAAUUACUUGGAAAUUCUAUUAAAUCUUAGUAAUCACUAUGUUUAAUCUGCACUAAAAUGAAAGAAGUGAACUGGAGUUGUGGAAUAUCACAGCUGUGUUUCAAGUUACAAGAUAUUUAUGAUAUAAUUUUAUUGGAAAAAUUACCUCGUCUCCCAGUCAAUUCUAGAUUAAAAAAUACCCGAAUGGUUGUCGAAAAAAGUGAAUACUUAACUAACAUCGUUAACCUUGGAGAAGAUGUAUAAUGAAGAUUCUUAUACAAAGUUCAGACAUAUUCUAGCUCUGAUAUUUAUUAGUUCAAUGCUAACUGUUUCGAUCGAUGCUUUGGAAUAAAGAUAUUAUGAACUUAGCUUGAGAAGAAUUUUUGAUGAUGUAAAACUCAUAAUUUGGUCUGAGACACCCUUGUCAACGUUUUAAUGACUAUUCUACCUCUGAGCUUGAGAGCUUGUCAAGUUGUUAUACGCGUCUAAUAUAGCCCUUGAAAAGAUUGAAUAAGGAAAAUCAAUUUAAUAACAUUCGAGCAAAUCUUCUGCUCUUUAGUUACUUAUUAUUAGAUCUGAAGCAAAUUCUUGAACACUGUUACUACUUUUUUCGAAUCAAAAGUUUUUCUUCUAAUAACUGGUAUUUUUGUGUUCAAUUCUGUAUUAUUCCACAUUAUCGUUAAUUUCAAAAAUAAUCAAAACUAUUUUUUUUUUAAUCUAUAGCAAAAGCACCCAUUAGACGACAAUAGAAGUCAUAUAAGCUUCUCAAUAGAAUUAUGGAUGUUGAGAUUACUGUACCUUCUAAAUUUUUUUCGUAAAAUGGACAUUGAAUACUCUGUUGAUAGUGAAGUCUUUUUAUUGUAAACCAGAUUGUGUGUAAUAAAUUUAGUAUUUAUCUAUUAAAAUAUUUUAUUUUUUCUUGAGUUCUGGUGAAUGAGCAACUAAAAAUCGAGGAUAUGUUGAAAGUUUAAUGAAGAUGAUGGAUUAUUAUAAUACAUAAUAAAUAUCGAUGAAUUCGUCAGCAAUUUUAAUUCUAACGCCACAUCCUUCAAUGAAAUAGGGAGGUAAACCUAUCGAGGCUCAAUUUACCGCCAACUAUUCAAUUGUGGGAUAAACUAACAACCUUGGAGCAUAUGUCUCAUUAGACUCGUUUCAUGUAAUAUUUGAGUGGUUAUCUUCAAUAAACAAAAAUACUUCCAAUACCAGAAUGUCGAAUUUUAUUUCGAUUUUUAUCAGUGUCGUAGCUUGAUUGAGUUGGUUGUAUUUAAAAAAAAUUAUCAACCAGGAAAUAACAUCUUGAUUUUUUUCCAUUCCACUCAACUCAAUAUUGAAUCAUAACUUAUACAUGAAUUCACUUCAAUAAAUUAAUUAUACUCGUAAUACAUCGGUUUUUAAAGUUAUUUUUCAAUUCAAGCCACUAUUCCGUCGUCUCAAUGUCCAAUCAGAAUAGUAUAUUAAAUUUGGGUUUAAAUUGGAAAGUUUUCAUUUUUCAUAGUAACAAAAACGUUGAAAAUUGAUUAUCUUUGUGUGAAAGUCAAUAUUUUUAUAAAGUAAUUUUAUUACUUGGGCCAGGGAACAUACUGAUGUUGUCUCGUGGGCCAUUGAUACUUGAUUUUUAAGAGGUUGACGUACCUCUUGAGGUUGAAAGAUCUUGACGUACUUCAAAUCACAAAAAAAUCAAUUUUCAUUUUUAUCAUCCCAAGGCAAUAUUUCAUCCUUCAUCAUGCAACCGAUUUCAAGAUAUACAUAUAUUUAUGUGACUUGCAUUACGGAACAAAUUGUCUUCAAGUCCUGAGGCAAAACUUAACUAAUUACUUCCAUUUCAAUUGAUAAUUUUCCUAUUGCACAUUUUACAUUUAAUGCUAUUUGAAUGAUAUAAUUGAAAAGUAGGUGAUCAAUUUGACUGUGUUUAAAUUAAGUUGAUCAAAGCAACCCCAAAUUAUUUGAUUAUCUUUAAAAUAACUCAUGCAAAAAGUAUAAUGAACGUUUUUGACAUGAAACAAACACCCAUCGACCUUACCCGAUUCAUGACUUUUAUUUCAAUGAGUAUUCUGUAUGAUUUUAAUUUUCAUACUAUUUAAUAGAGCCUUUUAAGCACCAUUAUUUGAAUGUGCUAUUAAAUUCAAUUUUUUAGACACAAAUCAAUUGUAUUAAAGUGUGAAGUAUUCUAAGCUUUUAUUUCACCAAGGCAUGUAUCCUUAUUGCCCAGGAUAUUAUUGAAAUCUCAGAAUCUAAGUUAAUCAUCGAGUUUAGAAGAAUUAAUAGCAACAACUCAGUUAUCUUACCGGAAAUUCGCAUUUUUGAACUUGAAUUACUAGAAUUCUGUAAUUUGAGACUGAGAUGAAGGCUCUCGCCCGAUUUUUGAGAGAUUCGCAAAAAUUGAAAAACCGUCCACAGCAAAAUAUGAAUGGACGGUCUAUAGACGCUCUCACUCUCCUACUGGUCGAGGUGAUUCAAGGUCGGAUGGCCCUUCUAGAAUCGACAGCAAUAGAGAGAGGGAUAAAGAAAGAGAUAGUCGAGUUCCUUUCGAUGCACUGAAGUAUGAAGCAUUGGAUGCUCACGAGAAACGAUCCCACAGUUAUAGCAGGUCGGGUGGAGAUGAUCAGAGGCAGGCAAUCGAUCGUCGAAGAGACGACUCCGACUCACACUACCCGCAGCCAGACUUUCGCAACCAGCCACCACAAAAGUCUAGAUCGUCAGAAAGUGCUAAUAAUUUCCGAGGCAGGAUAAACGAGAGGAGAUCCGAUCACAACCCCAAAUAUGACGAAAGAGAAAGAGAUCGGAAUAAGGAGAGACCAAGAGAAAGGGAGAGAGAAAGGACUGACUAUCAACCUUCUCGAAGACCGAUCCAGGAUAGACGUAAAGGAUCUCCUGGUGCUAGCAAUAGAAGGCCAUCUGAUAGAGAUCAGGAAUUUGAUCGGCAUCGUGGCGAUAAAGAACAGUGGGAGAGAGAAAGAGGCAGAGAAAUAGAUGUGGAUAGAAGGAGACGUCCAAAGAGUAGGGAACGUGAUGAUGACAGGAGAGAGCCGAGACCCCGUGAGGGGAGGGAAGAGGGGAGGCCACCACGCCGAACAGAUGACAGAUCAGAACAUCGUUCCAACAAACAUUCCGACUAUCCACAGGAUGAGGGUGAAGAAGAGGAGUAUGAAGCCGGCCCCCCCGGCCCUGCACCUCACCACUUGCGGGGGGCUCGCGGAAGGGUUGGUUGGGGAAGAGGAGGAAUCAUGUUGAGGGGCGCACCCCGUGGAGCGAUGAGGGGGGCCCCCAUGAUGCGCCCCCUGGCCCCAUUCCCACCCCACCAACCAUUCUUUCCGCCACCAGUGAGACCGAUGCCACCCAUCAUGCCCAUGAGAGGCUAUCCGCCACGAUUUCACCAUCCUCCCUUUUUCCGCCCAUUCUUCAUGUAAAGAAUGAGGAAUAGUAGAGGAAGAAUGAGAAACCAAUAUAAAAAAUAUUCGUGGGGUUCGUCGAAAAAUUACCAAAAAUCGUCGAAAAAUCAAGUUACCUUGAUGCAUAAUAAUGGAUGUAUAUAAUUCAUCUACGAUUAUCGAAUAGUGUGGUCUAUAAUACACCUAGAGACAAUAUUAUUUUUUAUUUCUACUCAUGUUUCGAACUUUCAAGUCAUUUUCAAAGUGAACCUAGAGACAAUUAUUUUUCUUAGUUUCAAAUAGUUAUUAUGUACAUAUUACUAUUAGUAACGAACUAUGUACUUGGAAUAAAAAACCAGAUAAGGUGAUUUUGUUUUC